AGUGAACGCUGGCGGUAGGCCUAACACAUGCAAGUCGAACGGCAGCACAGUAAGAGCUUGCUCUUACGGGUGGCGAGUGGCGGACGGGUGAGGAAUACAUCGGAAUCUACUUUUUCGUGGGGGAUAACGUAGGGAAACUUACGCUAAUACCGCAUACGACCUACGGGUGAAAGCAGGGGAUCUUCGGACCUUGCGCGAUUGAAUGAGCCGAUGUCGGAUUAGCUAGUUGGCGGGGUAAAGGCCCACCAAGGCGACGAUCCGUAGCUGGUCUGAGAGGAUGAUCAACCACACUGGAACUGAGACACGGUCCAGACUCCUACGGGAGGCAGCAGUGGGGAAUAUUGGACAAUGGGCGCAAGCCUGAUCCAGCCAUACCGCGUGGGUGAAGAAGGCCUUCGGGUUGUAAGGCCCUUUUGUUGGGAAAGAAAAGCAGCAGGUUAAUACCCCGCUGUUCUGACGGUACCCAAAGAAUAAGCACCGGCUAACUUCGUG
rnacentral:rRNA from 1 species